rnacentral:rRNA from 1 species
UACGGGGGGAGCAAGCGUUGUUCGGAUUUACUGGGCGUAAAGGGCGCGUAGGCGGCGUAACAAGUCACUUGUGAAAUCUCCGGGCUUAACUCGGAACGGCCAAGUGAAACUGUCAAGCUAGAGUGCGGAAGGGCAAUCGGAAGUUCUUGGAUGUAGGCGGUGAAAGUGACGUAGAUAUCAAGAGGAACACCUGAGGUGAAGACGGUUGCUGGGCCGACACUGACGCUGAUGCGCGAAAGCCAGGGGAGCAAACGGG